AGUUCAAGAGUACGUGAAACCGUUCAGGGGUAAACCUGAGAAACCCAAAAGAUCGAAUGGGGAGAUUCAUCGUCAGCGGUGCUGGUAUGCACGCGGUUCGCGAUGCCGGAGACUUCGGUCUCGUGGCACGCGUCCGCGUGUUUGUACUGCCUGGCAUCGUCGGCGUGCACUUCUCCCCUAGUAGGACGUCGCGACCCGUUGGGUGUCGGUCUACGGCCCGGGUGGGUGCCUGUCUCGUGUGACACCUCACGGUGUCACUGCGAGGCAGACCCCCGGCUGCCCGACCGGCUGCCCGGCGGUACUCGCAAGGUAUCCGGCCGCAAAUAUUCGAACUGCGUCCGGCCCGUCGCAAGCGAGGCAAGUGUUUCCCGAAUGUACGGAUCUAAUGCCGUCAUCGGGCCUAGCCAGCUGUUGGCUGACGGUGUCCUGGGACUGGCUGUAACAAUUAUGAUACCGGUCAGCGACGCUACUGCUUUGGGUACUUUCAGGACCCGUCUUGAAACACGGACCAAGGAGUCUAACAUGUGCGCGAGUCAUUGGGAACUAUUAAGCCUAAAGGCGCAAUGAAAGUGAAGGUCGGCCGUGCGCCGACCGAGGGAGGAUGGGCCGCGUCACGAUGCGGUCCCGCACUCCCGGGGCGUCUCGUUCUCAUUGCGAGAAGAGGCGCACCCAGAGCGUACACGUUGGGACCCGAAAG
rnacentral:rRNA from 1 species